rnacentral:rRNA from 1 species
UACGUAGGGGGCUAGCGUUGUCCGGAAUCAUUGGGCGUAAAGCGCGCGUAGGCGGCCCGGUAAGUCCGCUGUAAAAGUCAAAGGCUCAACCUUUGAAUGUCAGUGGAUACUGCCGGGCUAGAGUCCGGAAGAGGUGAGUGGAACUCCUGGUGUAGCGGUGGAAUGCGCAGAUAUCAGGAAGAACACCGACGGCGAAGGCAGCUCGCUGGGACGGUACUGACGCUGAGGCGCGAAAGCGUGGGGAGCGAACAGG